rnacentral:rRNA from 1 species
CCUACGGGAGGCAGCAGUAAGGAAUAUUGGUCAAUGGACGAAAGUCUGAACCAGCCAUGCCGCGUGAAGGAUGAAGGUCCUCUGGAUUGUAAACUUCUUUUAUCUGGGACGAAAAAGGGCUUUCUAGCUCACUUGACGGUACCAGAGGAAUAAGCACCGGCUAACUCCGUGCCAGCAGCCGCGGUAAUACGGAGGGUGCAAGCGUUAUCCGGAUUUACUGGGUUUAAAGGGAGCGUAGGUGGGCAGGUAAGUCAGUGGUGAAAUCUCUGGGCUUAACCCGGAAACUGCCAUUGAUACUAUCUGUCUUGAAUAUCCUGGAGGUAAGCGGAAUAUGUCAUGUAGCGGUGAAAUGCUUAGAUAUGACAUAGAACACCCAUUGCGAAGGCAGCUUACUACGGGAUUAUUGACACUGAGGCUCGAAAGCGUGGGGAUCAAACAGGAUUAGAUACCCUGGUAGUCCACGCCCUAAACGAUGGAUACUCGACAUCAGCGAUACACUGUUGGUGUCUGNGNGAGANAUAUAUCCACCNCGAGACGACGCGAGACGACGACAUAGAGUAGACGCGNGAGAGAGCGACGACGACGACGAGGGAGGAGG